AUGAACGCUAGCUACAGGCUUAACACAUGCAAGUCGAGGGGCAGCAUGGUCUUAGCUUGCUAAGGCCGAUGGCGACCGGCGCACGGGUGAGUAACACGUAUCCAACCUGCCGUCUACUCUUGGACAGCCUUCUGAAAGGAAGAUUAAUACAAGAUGGCAUCAUGAGUCCGCAUGUUCACAUGAUUAAAGGUAUUCCGGUAGACGAUGGGGAUGCGUUCCAUUAGAUAGUAGGCGGGGUAACGGCCCACCUAGUCUUCGAUGGAUAGGGGUUCUGAGAGGAAGGUCCCCCACAUUGGAACUGAGACACGGUCCAAACUCCUACGGGAGGCAGCAGUGAGGAAUAUUGGUCAAUGGGCGAGAGCCUGAACCAGCCAAGUAGCGUGAAGGAUGACUGCCCUAUGGGUUGUAAACUUCUUUUAUAAAGGAAUAAAGUCGGGUAUGGAUACCCGUUUGCAUGUACUUUAUGAAUAAGGAUCGGCUAACUCCGUGCCAGCAGCCGCGGUAAUACGGAGGAUCCGAGCGUUAUCCGGAUUUAUUGGGUUUAAAGGGAGCGUAGAUGGAUGUUUAAGUCAGUUGUGAAAGUUUGCGGCUCAACCGUAAAAUUGCAGUUGAUACUGGAUAUCUUGAGUGCAGUUGAGGCAGGCGGAAUUCGUGGUGUAGCGGUGAAAUGCUUAGAUAUCACGAAGAACUCCGAUUGCGAAGGCAGCCUGCUAAGCUGCAACUGACAUUGAGGCUCGAAAGUGUGGGUAUCAAACAGGAUUAGAUACCCUGGUAGUCCACACGGUAAACGAUGAAUACUCGCUGUUUGCGAUAUACUGCAAGCGGCCAAGCGAAAGCGUUAAGUAUUCCACCUGGGGAGUACGCCGGCAACGGUGAAACUCAAAGGAAUUGACGGGGACCCGCACAAGCGGUGGAGCAUGUGGUUUAAUUCGAAGCAACGCGAAGAACCUUACCAGGUCUUGACAUCCUACUAACGAGAUAGAGAUAUGUUAGGUGCCCUUCGGGGAAAGUAGAGACAGGUGGUGCAUGGUUGUCGUCAGCUCGUGUCGUGAGAUGUUGGGUUAAGUCCCGCAACGAGCGCAACCCUUACUGUCAGUUACUACGCAAGAGGACUCUGGCCAGACUGCCGUUGACAAAACGGAGGAAGGUGGGGAUGACGUCAAAUCAGCACGGCCCUUACGUCCGGGGCUACACACGUGUUACAAUGGGGGGUACAGAGGGCCGCUACCACGCGAGUGGAUGCCAAUCCCCAAAACCUCUCUCAGUUCGGACUGGAGUCUGCAACCCGACUCCACGAAGCUGGAUUCGCUAGUAAUCGCGCAUCAGCCACGGCGCGGUGAAUACGUUCCCGGGCCUUGUACACACCGCCCGUCAAGCCAUGGAAGCCGGGAGUGCCUGAAGUGCGUGACCGCAAGGAGCGCCCUAGGGUAAAACUGGUGACUGGGGCU
rnacentral:rRNA from 1 species